rnacentral:rRNA from 1 species
AUACGGAGGAUGCGAGCGUUAUCCGGAUUUAUUGGGUUUAAAGGGUGCGUAGGCGGUUUGCUAAGCGGGAGGUGAAAUGCCGGCGCUCAACGUCGGAAGUGCCUCCCGAACUGGUGGACUUGAAUGACUCUGCCGUGGGAGGAAUGUGUAGUGUAGCGGUGAAAUGCUUAGAGAUUACACAGAACACCGAUUGCGAAGGCAUCUCACGAAGGGUUGAUUGACGCUGAGGCACGAAAGCGUGGGGAUCAAACAGGAUUAGAUACCCUGGUAGUCCACGCAGUAAACGAUGAUGGCUAACCGCUGGGCUUAUCAGUUCAGUGGCCAAGCGAAAGCGAUAAGCCAUCCACCUGGGGAGUACGACCGCAAGGUUGAAACUCAAAUGAAUUGACGGGG